AUACGGAGGGUGCAAGCGUUAUUCGGAAUCACUGGGCGUAAAGGACGCGUAGGCGGGUUAUUAAGUCGGGUGUGAAAUCCAAUGGCUCAACCAUUGAACUGCAUUCGAAACUGAUAACCUAGAGUAUGGAAGGGGCAGGUGGAAUUAGUGGUGUAGGGGUAAAAUCCGUAGAUAUCACUAGGAAUACCGAAAGCGAAGGCGACCUGCUGGGACAUUACUGACGCUGAGGCGUGAAAGCGAGGGGAGCAAACAGGAUUAGAAACCCCGGUAGUCC
rnacentral:rRNA from 1 species